UACGUAGGGGGCAAGCGUUAUCCGGAUUUACUGGGUGUAAAGGGAGCGUAGACGGCUAGGCAAGUCUGGUGUGAAAACCCGGGGCUCAACUCCGGGAUUGCAUUGGAAACUGUCUAGCUAGAGUGCAGGAGAGGUAAGUGGAAUUCCUAGUGUAGCGGUGAAAUGCGUAGAUAUUAGGAGGAACACCAGUGGCGAAGGCGGCUUACUGGACUGUAACUGACGUUGAGGCUCGAAAGCGUGGGGAGCAAACAGG
rnacentral:rRNA from 1 species